rnacentral:rRNA from 1 species
AGCUCCAAUAGCGUAUAUUAAAGUUGUUGCAGUUAAAAAGCUCGUAGUUGGAUUUCGGAACCGGCCGAUUGGUCCGUCCUCUGGAUCGUGUACUGAUCGGUCUGUUCUUCUUCGCGAAGACCAUGUGUGCCCUUAACUGGGUGGGCUUGGGAUUCGCGACGUUUACUUUGAAAAAAUUAGAGUGUUCAAAGCAGGCAUUCGCUUGAAUAUCUCAGCAUGGAAUAAUAGAAUAGGACUUUGGUCUUAUUUUGUUGGUUUCCGAGACCGAAGUAAUGAUUAAUAGGGACAGUUGGGGGCAUUCGUAUUUCAUUGUCAGAGGUGAAAUUCUUGGAUUUAUGAAAGACGAACUUCUGCGAAAGCAUUUGCCAAGGAUGUUUUCAUUA